rnacentral:rRNA from 1 species
UACAGAGACUGCAAGCGUUAUUCGGAUUCACUGGGCGUAAAGGGUGCGCAGGCGGUUGGGGGUGUCGGAUGUGAAAUCCCGAGGCUCAACCUCGGAACUGCGUCUGAAACUACUCGACUAGAGUACUGGAGAGGGUAACGGAAUUCACGGUGUAGCAGUGAAAUGCGUAGAUAUCGUGAGGAACACCAGAGGCGAAGGCGGUUACCUGGACAGUUACUGACGCUCAGGCACGAAAGCAUGGGGAGCAAAAGGG